GACGAACGCUGGCGGCGCGCCUAACACAUGCAAGUCGAACGAGCGAGCGAGAGCUUGCUUUCUUGAGCGAGUGGCGAACGGGUGAGUAACGCGUGAGGAACCUGCCUCAAAGAGGGGGACAACAGUUGGAAACGACUGCUAAUACCGCAUAAGCCCACGACCCGGCAUCGGGUUGAGGGAAAAGGAGCCAUCCGCUUUGAGAUGGCCUCGCGUCCGAUUAGCUAGUUGGUGAGGUAACGGCCCACCAAGGCGACGAUCGGUAGCCGGACUGAGAGGUUGAACGGCCACAUUGGGACUGAGACACGGCCCAGACUCCUACGGGAGGCAGCAGUGGGGAAUAUUGCACAAUGGGGGAAACCCUGAUGCAGCGACGCCGCGUGGAGGAAGAAGGUCUUCGGAUUGUAAACUCCUGUUGUUGAGGAAGAUAAUGACGGUACUCAACAAGGAAGUGACGGCUAACUACGUG
rnacentral:rRNA from 1 species